AUUCGACACCAGAACCGGAACCCGACGGAGCCCUUUCGACACUUCAGGCGCCCCGCGGGGCUGCGAAGUCAGGGCAACAUUCCACCCUGGUAACGUGGCCGUUCUAGAGCACAGCUCCUUCUGAUACAUGCGGACCCAGUCGCUUCAGAGCCUUCAAAGUAUAGGCGUUGUCACUGAGGCUCGGCUGACCCUCUUGAACGCACGCCUCUGUUUCUGUUCUUAGGUCCUUUAUGCCUCAGAAGGAUUUGUAAACAUCAAAUGAGAUAGGGACUUUGAUUGACUGUUGCUCAAGCUCAGACGUUCCUCUGUUGUUACUGGCUGUUCGCCCCCAUGAUAUGCCAAUUGGAAAGACAAGAUAUGGAGGCCAAGAAAGUGACUUUAUUUUAAAAGAUCGCUCAAAGAAACUGAAGAAAACCCUGAAUAAACCCGUUAGCUUCACCUGCUUUUGGUCACUUGUUCUUAUCAACAAUCUGAAAUACCUUACAGUCAGCCAGCCUACAUCAAGCACUCCAUGGCCACCCUGGAAGAUGAUACAUCUUUGGCUGCAGCAACAUUCAGAAUGGCCCUGUCUGGGAUAAGUCUGCCCAACAUCCUCCAGAUGACUGCCCUUCUGCAGACAUCCUCAGGUCCUCCAAGGGCCCCUUCUCCUACCCAAAGUCAAACAGAAAGUCUGACCCUGCUCAUGAUCAAGCUUAGUUUUCUUCUUCUAUAAGCAACCUCCCCAUUCACUUAGUGGGCCCAGCCUGUGGGCUGCUACCCUUUAUGCUGCAGCAUAAAUCCUAAUAAAGCCUCUUCUUAAUAGCAUA